rnacentral:rRNA from 1 species
GAGUUUGAUCCUGGCUCAGGAUGAACGCUGGCGGCGUGCCUCAUGCAUGCAAGUCGAACGGGAACACUUUUAGUAGCAAUACUGAGGGUGUUCUAGUGGCGAUCGGGUGAGUAACACGUAGGUGACCUGCCCCGAAGAGGGGGAUAACGGUCCGAAAGGACUGCUAAUACCCCAUGUGGUUGAUGAUUCAUUUCGUCAAUUAAAGUUUCCGCAAGGAGUAUGCUUCGGGAGGGGCCUGCGGCGGAUUAGAUAGUUGGUGGGGUAAUGGCCUACCAAGUCGAUGAUCCGUAGCUAGUCUGAGAGGACGAUUAGCCACACUGGCACUGACACACGGGCCAGACUCCUACGGGAGGCAGCAGCAGGGAAUAUUGCACAAUGGGCGAAAGCCUGAUGCAGCAACGCCGCGUGAGGGAUGAAGGUCUUCGGAUUGUAAACCUCUUUUACAGGGGACGAGUAAGGACGGUACCCUGUGAAUAAGCAACGGCUAACUACGUGCCAGCCGCCGCGUAAUAC